rnacentral:misc_RNA from 1 species
UCCUUGUGCUAGGAGGCUGGAGA